rnacentral:rRNA from 1 species
UACAGAGGUCUCAAGCGUUGUUCGGAAUUACUGGGCGUAAAGGGCUCGUAGGCGGCCAACUAAGUCAGACGUGAAAUCCCCAGGCUCAACCUGGGAACUGCGUCUGAUACUGGUUGGCUUGAAUCCGGGAGAGGGAUGCAGAAUUCCAGGUGUAGCGGUGAAAUGCGUAGAUAUCUGGAGGAAUACCGGUGGCGAAGGCGGCAUCCUGGACCGGCAUUGACGCUGAGGAGCGAAAGCUAGGGGAGCAAACGGG